CUCAGAAGUGUCCACCUCCCUCUUCAUUCACUUCCACAGGCAUCCGGUCCCGUCGGCCCAGUCGUUCCUUAUUCAAACCUCGUCGGGAGAAUCUUUCCUUAUUUUUUUCGCACACAGAAGCAGGUACUAGAGGUAAUCCAGAGUUAAUCCCACAUACUCAGAAGAGGCACAGAACGACAAGCGCCACAUGGUCUCACUCGUGCACAGAAGGGCCACUGUGACUGGGAGAAGCCUGUACACAGGGCUCAACUUUUCAAGUCUGUCAAGCUCAUGAGAAAUGAGGAAGACUGAGAAGCCGCACAGGCCAGACCAUGGGAGGGAGACAGCAGUGGCAAAGUGGUAUCCCAGAACAAGGAAGGAAAGUGGUGGGAACCAGGUAAAGUUUAGUUAA